rnacentral:rRNA from 1 species
CGUAGAUAUUAGGAAGAACAAUCAGUAGCGAAAGCGACUUUUCUGGACUGUAACUGACGCUGAGGAACGAUAGCGUUGGGGAGCGAACAGGAUUAGAUACCCUGGUAGUCCACGCCGUAAACGAUGGAUACUUGGUGUUGGCCGUAAAGGUCGGUGCCGGAGCAAAUGUAUUAAGUAUCCCGCCUGGGGAGUACGGUCGCAAGGCUGAAACUCAAAAGAAUUGACGGGGACCCGCACAAGCAGCGGAGCAUGUGGUUUAAUUCGAAGCAACGCGAAGAACCUUACCAAAUCUUGACAUAUCAAAGCUAUCUGAGUAAAAUUGGAGUUCCAAUUUGGACUUUGACUACAGGUGGUGCAUGGUUGUCGUCAGCUCGUGUCGUGAGAUGUUGGGUUAAGUCCCGUAACGAGCGCAACCCUUAUUUUUAGUUGCUAACAAGUAGUGUUGUAGGACUCUAGAGAGACUGCCGAUGAAAAAAUCGGAGGAAGGUGGGGAUGACGUCAAAUCAUCAUGCCCCUUAUGAUUUGGGCUACACACGUGCUACAAUGGCCGGUACAACGGGUAAGCGAAGGGGUGACCUGGAGCCAAUCCUCACAAGCCGGUCCCAGUUCGGAUUGCAGAUUGAACUCAUCUGUAUGAAGUUGGAGUUGCUAGUAAUCGCGUAUCAGAUGUCGCGGUGAAUGCGUUCCCGGUCUGUACACACCGCCCGUCACACC